UAGGAUGCGAUGUCCAUAAUGGUAGUAUAGUGGAUAUAAGACUUUUUGAUAUUUUGAAAAAUUAAACAUUAAUUUUGGGGAGCCAUGUUACCGUCGUACAUUGAUUAAGAGUAAGAUACAUAUUACGAUUAGAAGCUAAGUAGUAAAUCGGCGUUUCUUUCCGCGAUACAUCAGAUUCCUGUAAACGAAUCACGAUGCUACACAAAUUUUGACAUGUUAAUGGCCCAAAGAGUUCUUACGUAAACCUGCGAAACAACGUAUACUAGUCCAUGAACUUUGUAUAAUGUUAGACAACUGGGUGAAUUUAUGCGAUGCACUGUAUGUUUAUUUGACAAUUGCGACAUGAAUAAAGUAUCAGAACUUUCA